UACGUAGGGUGCGAGCGUUGUCCGGAAUUAUUGGGCGUAAAGGGCUCGUAGGCGGUUUGUCGCGUCGGGAGUGAAAAUCCAGGGCUUAACUCUGGACUGGCUUCCGAUACGGGCAGACUAGAGGUAUGCAGGGGAGAACGGAAUUCCUGGUGUAGCGGUGAAAUGCGCAGAUAUCAGGAGGAACACCGGUGGCGAAGGCGGUUCUCUGGGCAUUACCUGACGCUGAGGAGCGAAAGCAUGGGGAGCGAACAGG
rnacentral:rRNA from 1 species